UGGGUAUCCUUUCAGAAAUUUUAAUCAAUAAGUUGCAUUUUCAAAACUUUUUUUUUAAAUUGCUAUUUUGGAAAAUUUUCAUUUUAUAGAGAACUACUGUAGAUUUAAGCUUUGGAUUUAGAAAUUAGGAUAACAAGAAUUUUUGUUGAUAGAUGAGUAUACUUUCAUAAUUUUCACCAAUAGGUUGCAUUUUUUAAAUAAUUAUUUUCUUAGAGAUUUUUCAUUUUUAUAGAGAACUAUUGUUGAUAACAAUAAUUUUUGAUGAUCGAUAAGUAUUCUUUCAGAUUUUUUCACGAAUAGAUUGCAUUAUUAAAAUAAUAUUUUUAAAAGCUGCUAUUUUUGGAAAUUUUUCAUUUUUAUAGGGAACUAUUGUAGAUUUCGAAUUAUGAUUCAAAAAUUAAGAUAACAAGAUUUUUGUUGAUAGAUGAGUAUUCUUUUAUAAUUUUUUAGCAGCUGGUUGUAUUUUUUAAAUAUAUUUUUUUAAACUGUUAUUUUUGGCAAGUUUUCAUUUUUAUAGAGAACUAUUGUAGAUUUGAGAUUCUGAUUCAGAAAUUAGGAUAACAAGAAUUUUUGUUGAUGGAUGAGUAUUCUUUCGGAAUUUUUCAUCAAUUGGUUGCACUUUUUAAAUCAUUUUUUUAACUGCUAUUUUUGGAAAGUUUUCAUUUUUUUUAAAGAGAACUAUUGUAUAUUUGAGUUUUUAAUUAGAAAUUAGGAGAACAAGAAUUGUUUUUGAUAGAUGAGUAUUCUUUCAGAAUUUUACAUCAAUAAGUUGUAUUUUAAAAAUAUUUUUUUAAACCGUUAUUUUGGAAUAUUUUCAUUUUAUAGAAAACUAUUUUGGUUGGAGUUUGGUUUAGAAAUUAGGAUAACAAUAAAUUUUUUGAUAGAUGAGCAUUCUUUCAGAAUUUUUAAUCAAUAGGUUGCUUUUUAAAAAUAUUUUUUUUAAAAUAAUUUUUUUUUAAAAAUUGCUUUUUUUUUUGAAAGUUUUCAAUUUUUCAGGGAAUCAUUGUAGAUUUAAGGUUGCGAGUUAGAAAUUAGGAUAACAAAAAUUUAACAGAUAAAUGAAUAUUUUUUUUAAGAAUUUUUCACUAAUAGAUUGCAAUUUUAAAAUAUUUUUUUUAAACUGUUAUAUUUUUUAUUGAGAACAAUCGUAGAUUUGGCAUUCUGAUUUAGAAAUUAAGAUAAACGAGUUUUUUUUUAUAAUAGUUUAUUGUUAUCAUGUAUGUAGUAAUACCCUUCAAGUCUUUAUACACAAACUACCCUAAUUAAUA
rnacentral:lncRNA from 1 species